GAUUCAGAUGUGAAGCAGCUUCUUGAUCUUGUGGAGAGUCCAGACUAUAAACUGGAGACUCUGAGGUGGGAGGACGCAUGGUGAUAAACAGGAGGGUGUGUGUUGUGAGAGGAUGAGCUGUGUCCUGAUGAUCCAGAGGUUGAAGCAGACUCUGACUGGACCAUGUUACUGGGAGGUGGAGAGGAGAGCUUCAUCCACAUGGUCUCCAUUUAAGACCAUCAACAGAGCUGCACUUCAACUCUUCACAGAGCUCCAACAAAUCAAGUCCAGUCCCUCAUCAAUGAUUCAGACACAUGUUCCAUAUCACUGCACAGUUACAGCAAUAAACCAUCAUGUCCCAAAGACACAACAAUGAGUCCUCCAAGGCCACAAAACAACAAAGGUAGCCCCUGGCCCCAGGUCUUUAAAGGACUAGUCUCCAGCCACCAAGCCAUUCAAACGUUCCUACGAGCCCCUCGACUCUAGACACCCAACAUAUCUGACAAAACAAAUACAUUCAUGAACCUUUUGACAUCUCAAUGACAUCAGAGCAUCAGCAUGUGAACAUACCCUCUGCAGGGUCCACUAUGGAAGACAGAUAAACAGGUUUUAGAACUUGGUUCAGACCUUUGAGGAACCAUCUGAAUAUUCUCACAUUCCAAAUAUAUAUUUUACUGAUGGUGUUCAAUCCAAGAUUUUACUUUUCAAAUAACUAAUAAAUAAAAUUGUAAUAAUUGAACCAGA